GACGAACGCUGGCGGCGUGCUUAACACAUGCAAGUCGAACGGAAAGGCCCUGCUUUUGUGGGGUGCUCGAGUGGCGAACGGGUGAGUAACACGUGAGUAACCUGCCCUUGACUUUGGGAUAACUUCAGGAAACUGGGGCUAAUACCGGAUAGGAGCUCCUGCUGCAUGGUGGGGGUUGGAAAGUUUCGGCGGUUGGGGAUGGACUCGCGGCUUAUCCGCUUGUUGGUGGGGUAGUGGCUUACCAAGGCUUUGACGGGUAGCCGGCCUGAGAGGGUGACCGGCCACAUUGGGACUGCGAUACGGCGCAGACUGCUACGGGAGGCAGCAGUGGGGAAUAUUGCAGAAUGGGCGGAAGCCUGAUGCAGCAACGCCGCGUGCGGGAUGCCGGCCUUCGGGUUGUAAACCGCUUUCGCCUGUGACGAAGCGUGAGUGACGGUAAUGGGUAAAGAAGCACCGGCUAACUACGUG
rnacentral:rRNA from 1 species